CCCAGACUCCUACGGGAGGCAGCAGUGGGGAAUAUUGCACAAUGGGGGAAACCCUGAUGCAGCGACGCCGCGUGAGUGAAGAAGUAUUUCGGUAUGUAAAGCUCUAUCAGCAGGAACGAGACAAGACGGUACCUGACUAAGAAGCCCCGGCUAACUACGUGCCAGCAGCCGCGGUAAUACGUAGGGGGCAAGCGUUAUCCGGAAUCACUGGGUGUAAAGGGAGCGUAGACGGCGACGCAAGUCUGGAGUGAAAGCCCGGGGCCCAACCCCGGGACUGCUCUUGGAACUGCGCGGCUGGAGUGCAGGAGGGGCAGGCGGAAUUCCUGGUGUAGCGGUGAAAUGCGUAGAUAUCAGGAGGAACACCGGUGGCGAAGGCGGCCUGCUGGACUGCGACUGACGUUGAGGCCCGAAAGCGUGGGGAGCAAACAGGAUUAGAUACCCUUGUA
rnacentral:rRNA from 1 species